GAAAAACGAGCCAAUGAGAGAAAUUUUACCUUGUUUGGCGGCCGGAAGGUUCUCCGGUGCGGCGGCGGGUGGCGGCAGUCGGUUCCUCCGGUGGCUGGGUUGUCUUCUCCGGCGAGGGUUCUGGCGGCUAGGGUUUGGGGUUGGGUGUGGAUGAGAUUAUUUAUAACCUUCCCCUUUUAAUCUGAACUGUCCAUCACGAUUUAAUCUGGACUGUCCGAUCGCGAUUAAAUUAGAAAUGAAU
rnacentral:lncRNA from 1 species